rnacentral:lncRNA from 1 species
GAAAAUUCAAAAGAGAAGAUGGAGAAAUGGACCAGGCUGAAUCAAGUACCAACAUGAUGGUGAAGAAAAAGGAUGGCCCUAACUUUACCAAAAGAGAUCCCAAGAUUUCAAACAAGAUGACCGGAGAAAAUCAGAUGGCUGCUGAAGAUGAGUUAUUAACUAACAACUUCGACUCUGGUUCGGAGGAUUCCUUAGACAUUUUGGUUGGAGUAGUAUCUGUAAUGCCUAGAGAAUUCG